rnacentral:rRNA from 1 species
CCUACGGGAGGCAGCAGUGGGGAAUAUUGGGCAAUGGACGCAAGUCUGACCCAGCAACGCCGCGUGAAGGAAGAAGGCUUUCGGGUUGUAAACUUCUUUUAAGGGGGAAGAGCAGAAGACGGUACCCCUUGAAUAAGCCACGGCUAACUACGUGCCAGCAGCCGCGGUAAUACGUAGGUGGCAAGCGUUGUCCGGAUUUACUGGGUGUAAAGGGCGUGCAGCCGGAGAGACAAGUCAGAUGUGAAAUCCACGGGCUCAACCCGUGAACUGCAUUUGAACCUGUUGCCCUUGAGUGUCGGAGAGGUAAGCGGAAUUCCUGGUGUAGCGGUGAAAUGCGUAGAUAUAAGGAAGAACACCAGUGGCGAAGGCAGAUUACUGGACGAUAACUGACGGUGAGGCGCGAAAGCGUGGGGAGCAAACAGGAUUAGAUACCCGAGUAGUC